CCUACGGGGGGCAGCAGUGAGGAAUAUUGGUCAAUGGACGAGAGUCUGAACCAGCCAAGUAGCGUGAAGGAUGACUGCCCUAUGGGUUGUAAACUUCUUUUAUAUGGGAAUAAAAUGUUCCACGUGUGGGAUUUUGUAUGUACUAUAUGAAUAAGGAUCGGCUAACUCCGUGCCAGCAGCCGCGGUAAUACGGAGGAUCCGAGCGUUAUCCGGAUUUAUUGGGUUUAAAGGGAGCGUAGGUGGAUUGUUAAGUCAGUUGUGAAAGUUUGCGGCUCAACCGUAAAAUUGCAGUUGAAACUGGCAGUCUUGAGUACAGUAGAGGUGGGCGGAAUUCGUGGUGUAGCGGUGAAAUGCUUAGAUAUCACGAAGAACUCCGAUUGCGAAGGCAGUUCACUGGACUGCAACUGACACUGAGGCUCGAAAGUGUGGGUAUCAAACAGGAUUAGAUACCCGUGUAGUC
rnacentral:rRNA from 1 species